rnacentral:rRNA from 1 species
AUGCGCCCUUCUCCCACCUGCGCCGCCGCCGCCGCCUCGCUCUCCAGGCAGCAACUCCUCCGCAUCCAGCGCUGUCUCCCACCCGUUUGGAGAAACGCCGCACCUGCCCAAGAACCGCCGCCGCCGCCCGCCUCGUCCUUCUCCCCCUCCUCCCUCGCCUCCAUCCUCUUCUCCUGCGCCGCGCACCGCGCGCUCCGCCCCGGCGAGCAGGUCCAUGCGCGCGCAUUCACGCUCGGCCUGGGCGCGCAUCCUUCCGUCCUCCCCAGGAUCGCCUCCUUGUACAUAGCCGUCGGCGACAUCCCGGCCGCGCGUUCUGCCGUCGAGCAGGCGGCUGGGAAGGCGCGAGCUUUCCCCUGGAACCUGCUCAUAUGGAGCUACGCCGGCGACAGGCUGUGGAAAGACGUGGUCAUGGCGUAUGACAGGAUGCUGGCGCUGGGCGUGGACGCCGACAGGUACACGUAUCCGUCUCUGCUGCGCGCUUGCGGCGAGCUCGGAGAGGUCACCAUUGGCCGCAAAAUUGACCACCGUAUUCGGAGGAGUAGAUAUGAUCUGGACAUGUAUGUCUGGAACGCUUUGGUCGGGAUGUAUGUCAAGUGCGGGGAGCUAGAGGAUGCGCGGAGGGUGUUUGAUGAAAUGUCUGUCAGGGAUGUUGUCAGCUGGAACACAAUGGUGUCUGGCUAUGCAUCGGCGGGGAUGUGGGCCGAGGCGUUUCAGCUGCUUCAGCGGGUUCCUGGGGAAAACAUUGUGACGUGGAAUGCAGUUGCAGCAGGGAAUUUGAAGGCAGGGAACUAUGAUGAAGUGAUCAGGUUGUUGUCUCAGACGAGGAAUCGCCACGGGCCAGGGGUGGACUCUGUGAGCGUGCUGAUUGGCCUCAAGGCGUGUGCUAAGAGUGGGUAUCUGAGGAUUGGCAGGGAGUUGCAUGGGGUGGCUGUUCGUCUAUACUUCGACAGGCUCGAGUGUGUGGUAAACUCGUUGAUAACAAUGUAUUCAAGAUGCAGGAUGAUGAGCUCUGCUGUACUUCUGUUUACAGUGUACUCAAUUCGGAGCAUCACAGCUUGGAAUUCAUUGUUAGCAGGAUUUGCAUUCAUGGACCAGGUUGAGGAAGCUUCUUUGCUCUUCAGAGAGAUGAUUGGCUCAGGUGUCUGUCCCAGUGAUGUUACUGUCUUGACAAUGCUCUCCGUUGUUGCUCGGUUUGGACACCUCUGUCAUGGAAGGGAGCUGCACUGCUACAUCCUUAGACAUGGAUUGGGUGGUUCUAAAUUAUUGCAAAACUCACUUGUCGACAUGUACUCAAAGUCUAGACACAUGAGAGCUUCACGGAUAGUAUUUGAUCAGAUGGAAUGUCGAGACAAGCAUGCCUACACUUCAUUGAUUUUGGGAUAUGGAAUGCAAAGAGAGGGCCAUCUAUCACUGAAGCUCUUUGAUGAAAUGAUCGCCAACAGUAUAGAGCCCGACCAUGUAACCAUGGUUGCUGUUCUUUCAGCAUGUAGCUACUCUGGACUGGUCACUCAAGGGCAGCUACUAUUUGCCAAUAUGUUUGCUGUGUUUGGUAUUGCACCAAGAGUGGAGCAUUUUUCUUGCAUGGUUGAUUUGUACAGCCGUGAAGGUUUGCUGAAGGUGUCCGAGGAGAUAAUUGACAAGAUGCCGUUCCAGCCAACUGCUGCAAUGUUAGCGACUCUUAUUGAGGCUUGCCUGACCCAUGGUAAUACAGAAAUUGGCAAACGAACUGCAAAGAAGCUGCUGGCAAUGAGGACAAACAAUCCUGGUCACUACAAAUUGAUCUCAAACACGUAUAUAUCAGCAAAAUGUUGGCCAGAGCUAGCUAAAGUUAGAUCAUUGAUGAGUAUGAUGGAUUUAACUAUGGUUCCAAGCCAUUCCUUGCUAGAAUCAGAAUAUGACAUAUGCCUAGUUGAGCAAGAUGAUGGCUUAAAUCAUGGUGCACAUUGUGACUUGUCUGACCGCAUAACGGAUACUGAUUCGUCUAGUAGUGAGGAAGUGAAAAGCAGCGAAGCUUUUGGUGGA